GUGAUAACCUGCCCUUGGGUCCGGCAUAACCCCGGGAAACUGGGGAUAAUUCCGGAUAACGCAUAUAUGCUGGAAUGCUUUAUGCGUAAAAUGGAUUCGUCCGCCCAAGGAUGGGUCUGCGGCCUAUCAGGUAGUAGUGGGUGUAAUGUACCUACUAGCCUACGACGGGUACGGGUUGUGAGAGCAAGAGCCCGGAGAUGGAUUCUGAGACAUGAAUCCAGGCCCUACGGGGCGCAGCAGGCGCGAAAACUUUACAAUGCGGGAAACCGUGAUAAGGGGACACCGAGUGCUAGCAUCAUAUGCUGGCUGUCCAGGUGUGUAAAAUACACCUGUUAGCAAGGGCCGGGCAAGACCGGUGCCAGCCGCCGCGGUAACACCGGCGGCCCGAGUGGUGAUCGUUAUUAUUGGGUCUAAAGGGUCCGUAGCCGGUUUGGUCAGUCCUCCGGGAAAUCUGAUAGCUCAACUAUUAGGCUUUCGGAGGAUACUGCCAGACUUGGAACCGGGAGAGGUAAGAGGUACUACAGGGGUAGGAGUGAAAUCUUGUAAUCCCUGUGGGACCACCUGUGGCGAAGGCGUCUUACCAGAACGGGUUCGACGGUGAGGGACGAAAGCUGGGGGCACGAACCGGAUUAGAUACCCGGGUAGUCCCAGCCGUAAACGAUGCUCGCUAGGUGCCAGGCAUGGCGCGACCGUGUCUGGUGCCGCAGGGAAGCCGUGAAGCGAGCCACCUGGGAAGUACGGCCGCAAGGCUGAAACUUAAGAU
rnacentral:rRNA from 1 species